AUGCUUCCUUCAGCAGCACAUGUGUUAAAGUUGGAACGCUACAAAGAAGAUCGGCACGGCCGCUGCGCAAGAACGACGCGCAAAUUCAGGAAAGUGUUCCAUAACUGU